AUUGAACGCUGGCGGCAUGCUUUACACAUGCAAGUCGAACGGCAGCGCGGGCUUCGGCCUGGCGGCGAGUGGCGAACGGGUGAGUAAUACAUCGGAACGUGCCCAGUAGUGGGGGAUAGCUCGGCGAAAGCCGGAUUAAUACCGCAUACGACCUGAGGGUGAAAGCGGGGGAUCUUCGGACCUCGCGCUAUUGGAGCGGCCGAUGGCAGAUUAGCUAGUUGGUGGGGUAAAGGCCUACCAAGGCGACGAUCUUUAGCUGGUCUGAGAGGACGACCAGCCACACUGGGACUGAGACACGGCCCAGACUCCUACGGGAGGCAGCAGUGGGGAAUUUUGGACAAUGGGCGAAAGCCUGAUCCAGCAAUGCCGCGUGUGUGAUGAAGGCCUUCGGGUUGUAAAGCACUUUUGGCGGGAACGAAAAGGACUGUGCCAAUACCACGGUUCGAUGACGGUACCCGCAGAAUAAGCACCGGCUAACUACGUG
rnacentral:rRNA from 1 species